UGGUGGGUUGCCUUGUCAGGUUGAUUCCGGUAACGAACGAGACCUCAGCCUGCUAAAUAGUCAAGCGUUCUUUUGAACACUCCUGACUUCUUAGAGGGACUAUUGUCGUUUAGGCAAUGGAAGUGUGAGGCAAUAACA
rnacentral:rRNA from 1 species